GAUGAACGCUAGCGGCAGGCCUAAUACAUGCAAGUCAAGGGGCCAGCAAUGGCACCGGCGCACGGGUGCGUAACACGUACACAACAUACCUUUAAGUGGGAGAUAGCAUCGGGAAACUGGUGGUAAUACCCCAUAAUAUUGCGAUGCGGCAUCACAUUGCAAUUAAAGUUUCGACGCUUAAAGAUUGGUGUGCGUCCGAUUAGCUAGUUGGCGGGGUAACGGCCCACCAAGGCUACGAUCGGUAGGGGGUGUGAGAGCAUGACCCCCCCACAUGGGUACGUGAGACACGGACCCGAACCUCCUACGGGAGGCAGC
rnacentral:rRNA from 1 species